GGGGCUGGGGCUCAGCGGUAGAGCAUUCACCUAGCAUGUGUGAGGUGCUAGGUUCGAUCCUCAGCACCA
rnacentral:tRNA from 1 species